rnacentral:tRNA from 1 species
CCUAAACGAAGUUUAUUAGUAAAUCCCUUACUUACAUUAAGGUGAGUCCAUAUUUUGGACGUUUAGGA